UGAAAUUUGUGUUAGGAUACUAAUAGUUAAUUUCUUUAAAUCCAAAGAAUUUGGCGGCAUCCCAUUCUAUUCAGAGGAAUCUGUCCCAUAAUUGAUAAUACACGAUUAGUGUUACUUAAUUUUUGUUUGUAUAUCUCCGUUAUCAGAAAAUCUUUUUAGAGAUAUAAAAUUUUCUUAAUCCUUAAUUAAGGAUUAUUUCAGGUCAAGGUGCAGCUGUAAUUAAGAAGGAGAUGGGUUACAAUAAAUUUAAUUUUUACGGUUUUAAUUAUGAAAAUUUUUAAUUAAGUUGGAUUUGAUAGUAACUGUUAACAUAUACAUUGAAAGACUACGCCGAC
rnacentral:rRNA from 1 species